AAAAAAAAAUCAUAUUUAUCAUUAUCAUUAUUCUCAUGCUGAUUAUUAUUAGUACAUGCCAACCUUGGACAGGCUAGGUGGCACACUGCAAUUCCUGGAGCUUGGGAUCGGAUCAGAAGGCGACAUUUUCUCAACACAUUAGAACAUAUUUUUGUACCCUAAUCCUCUCAUAUGCGAACUGUUUUUAAAACCCACAGAAAUCCAAAAGAUCUUCGGUGACCACUCGGAAUAAUGGAGUG
rnacentral:lncRNA from 1 species